rnacentral:rRNA from 1 species
CCUACGGGUGGCAGCAGUGGGGAAUAUUGGGCAAUGGACGCAAGUCUGACCCAGCAACGCCGCGUGAAGGAAGAAGGCUUUCGGGUUGUAAACUUCUUUCAAGGGGGAAGAGCAGAAGACGGUACCCCUUGAAUAAGCCACGGCUAACUACGUGCUAGCAGCCGCGGUAAUACGUAGGUGGCAAGCGUUGUCCGGAUUUACUGGGUGUAAAGGGCGUGCAGCCGGAGGGGCAAGUCAGAUGUGAAAUCCGCGGGCUCAACCCGCGGACUGCAUUGGAAACUGCUUCGCUGGAGUGUAGGAGAGGUAAGGGGAAUUCCUAGUGGAGGGGGGAAAGGCGGAGAUAUGAGGAGGAACACCAGUGGCGAAGGCGGAUUACUGGACGGUAACUGAGGUGGAGGCGCGAAAGGGUGGGGAGCAAACAGGAUUAGAUACCCGGGUAGUC